rnacentral:rRNA from 1 species
CCUACGGGAGGCAGCAGUGGGGAAUAUUGGACAAUGGGCGCAAGCCUGAUCCAGCCAUGCCGCGUGAAUGAUGAAGGCCUUAGGGUUGUAAAAUUCUUUCACCGGGGACGAUAAUGACGGUACCCGGAGAAGAAGCCCCGGCUAACUUCGUGCCAGCAGCCGCGGUAAU